CUGAACAAGCAGGGUGGAAUCUGGCCAAUUCUUAUCCCAGUCUCCCGAACGCCCACCGAUAUCCAAAACCCGGGUGACCCCUCCGUACCCCGAAUGAGUGAUCUCUCCCAGGGGAGCGAAUAACUGCAGUAUCUGUAACAGCUUUAAGAACACUGAGCCUCACUACCAACUUUCCUGGUGAGCCCAAUCCGUUGUUCAGGAGAGGUCAUGAAUCCACGGCUCUGCCUCAGCUUGGCGUGGUCUCGCAGCGGCUCUGCUUGUCUUCUUCCCCAGAUUUGUUUUUCAGCUUCAGGCUUUCUAAUGGGAGAACGUUCUACUUAACACAAAACCUAUGAUUCUGAGUCUACCUGGACAUAUUGAGGGGCAAACUUGUCCUGGCACACUACUGCUGUUAUGUAUUAUACUGCUGUUUCUUGCUUUUCUGGCUGCAGUUUUUCCAUUUCUGACAUGGAUUUUCUAUUUAUUUAAUUUGAUCCAUUUAAUCCAUUCCUCAGUGUAAUACAAGGGUGUGAAUUAAAGGAUUUUGGUUGUUAUUUUUGAAAAACAGAAGACUGGGGCAGGGAAGAAAUGCACACAAUUUUUUUAUAGCCCUGCCAGUUGUACAAAUAAUCCUAAUCCCCAACUCCCCUAUCAUAAGUAACUUGCUAUCUGGGCCCUCUAUAUAGGUGCCAAACCAUUCUGAAUAUGAAGCUCCGAAUAUGUCUCUUCAUUUGCAACUAAAUAUGUACCCUCUGAUUUAUACAACAUGCAGUUAUACAAUUGCAGCAGAAAUAUCAGCAAAGGUUAGCAAGGAUUUUGAAUCAUGAAUAAAAGAUACAGGCCCCUGUCCAGCAAAAUACUUAUGCAUACGUUUAAGUCCAUGAGCAUAGUCCUAUUGACUUCAAAGGAACUACUCAUGUGCAAAAGGUUAUAUAGUGUAUAGUGAUUUGUAGGAUCAGAGUCUAGAUUAGGGCUGUCUGACUGGUGGCCUGUGGGCUGUGUGCAAGGUUAUAUACAGCCCCCCCAGUUCUUGCCCAGCUGCUGCUUCCCCCAUCACUUCUGCUGCUGUGGUGGCUGAGUUCUCCAGGCUCUCCCGCCAUCAACCAGCUUCUGUUCCUGCCCCUGCUCUAGGGGGUGGCUGGCAGAAGGACACUGGAUAUGCAUUAAGGGGAGAUCAAGGAUACCCGUACAUCAAGAGAGGGGAUUGUCUGCUCAGGCUGCAUGCACGACAAAAAAAAAAGGCUUUGCCGCUUGUACAGCCAGCACAGGAGAAAGGAGCUGGGUUGGUUGUACUGACCACACAACAGAGGGGAGCCAGGCUGCUCAUCCAGUGUGGGGGACACCAAGGAGGGUCUCCCAUAUGGUGGGUGACCUGGAGUUUGUGGCCCAUGGGGUCUGCAGCCCCAUGCCAUCCAGAAAUUGGGCAGCCAGGGCCUAAAUGAUAUUUGGUAUAGAUGCAAGGAAAGGAUGGGUCUUGUGGGUCUUGACCAUGCCAGAUGGUAAGACCUCUAGCAAAACACAUAGGCAAAUACAGAGAUAGAAGUGGGAAUGUUGGCCCCCUGGGUAAAGGUGGGGGUGCUAAGUGGCAAAAAGUCUUAUCAGAAGCAGAUACCCCUGCUAUUGCUGCUGGCAGCCCAGGCUGUCCACACACUGGCAACAACUGCUGCUGCUGUUGUAUACAGGUUCCUGCUGUCACCAUUGUGUAAGCUUCCCUGAGGCCACCAUUCUGGUGGUGCCCUCUAAGCUGUGCCCAGGGCUGGUGCCCCACUUGUGUACUCCUAGUUACAUGACUGAGUACACACUUACUUUUUAAGCACUUAAACAGCUUCACCGAAGUUCAUAAUGGAACUAAUAAGAUUAAGGAUAUAUUUACACUAUUGACAGCAGUGUCAUGUAGAGCUACUCCAGCUUGCUUGGAUAUAUGAAGCAAUUUACCAAUGACAGUGUGUAAGGAAAAGCGGGGACCUGCAGAAUGUGCAGGGGAAAUGACUCCCACAGCAGUUCCCCUCUCCUCUUCUACACUUCACUGGGGGAAUUAUUGCCCCUGCACACAUCUGCAAGUGACAAAAGUACACUAGGCCCCAGAGCGCUUAUUAUGGUGCCACACCCUGGGUCAACACGCAGUGCACAAAUGCAGAUGGGGCAAGGGAGAGGGGAGAUCCCCAUGGAAGUUCCCCCAACUCUGUACUUGAAUCCCCUCAACACGGGAUCCCCUCUGGUAUGCAAGUGCAGAGGAUUGAGCCCUUUUCCUGCAUGCAGAUGUGUCCCCCAAGUCAGGGCGUGGUACCCAGGGCCCUUUUCCUACAGUUUUGAGCCCCUGGAUUACUGAGAGGGGCAGGGGACUGACCCAGUGGGACAACAGCCCUGGUGACAUCUGCAGAUGUCAUUUAAGCAAAGCAGCUGUGCCCUGACAUGUUGCGGUACAGCUGAUUGCAAUUCAAAGAGGAUGUCUGUUUCCAGCAUAAGUGUCAUACCCUCAAUGCAGAAAGGUGCAGAGUACAUUAGCUCAGUCUGACCUCUAUGCUGCUAUGGCAAGACUGUUUCUAUAACUGAGAUAAGUCAUUAAAAUUAAGCCCCUUGCAAAUAUUAAG